rnacentral:rRNA from 1 species
AUUGAACGCUGGCGGCAUGCCUUACACAUGCAAGUCGAACGGCAGCACGGGGGCAACCCCUGGUGGCGAGUGGCGGACGGGUGAGUAAUGCAUCGGAACGUGCCCUGAAGUGGGGGAUAACGCAGCGAAAGCUACGCUAAUACCGCAUAUUCUGUGAGCAGGAAAGCAGGGGAUCGCAAGACCUUGCGCUUUGGGAGCGGCCGAUGUCGGAUUAGCUAGUUGGUGGGUAAAGGCCUACCAAGGCGACGAUCCGUAGCGGGUCUGAGAGGAUGAUCCGCCACACCUGGGACUGAGACACGGCCCAGACUCCUACGGGAGGCAGCAGUGGGGAAUUUUGGACAAUGGGCGAAAGCCUGAUCCAGCCAUGCCGCGUGAGUGAAGAAGGCCCUUCGGGGUUUCGGUUAAAGGACGUCCGUUUUUCCGGUUC